GACGAACGCUGGCGGCGUGCCUAACACAUGCAAGUCGAACGGAGUAAGGCGCUGAAAUUGAGAUUAGCUUGCUAAAGGAUAUUUCUUGUUUACUUAGUGGCGGACGGGUGAGUAACGCGUGAGGAACCUGCCCUUCAGAGGGGGACAACAGUUGGAAACGACUGCUAAUACCGCAUGAUGUAUCUCUGGGACAUCCCUAAGAUACCAAAGGAGCAAUCCGCUGAAGGAUGGCCUCGCGUCCGAUUAGAUAGUUGGUGGGGUAACGGCCCACCAAGUCGACGAUCGGUAGCCGGACUGAGAGGUUGAACGGCCACAUUGGGACUGAGAUACGGCCCAGACUCCUACGGGAGGCAGCAGUGGGGAAUAUUGGGCAAUGGGGGAAACCCUGACCCAGCAACGCCGCGU
rnacentral:rRNA from 1 species